GGAGAAUCUAGAUGGACACGUCUUUUUUCAGCCUAUACAAUUAUGUAACUAGAGAGCCAAAUGAGAUGGAGACAAAAUGGAGACACAUGAGAUGGCUGGAUUUUUAUUGACAUUCUAUCUUUUCAAACCAUUUCAUUUCACUCUGCCACAUUUGAAUCAUGCCUAUUGCCCAGCGCACUCUAUAGACCAACAGCCAGAAUAAAGUAGACUGCAUGAGGUUCUGUAAGUCUAUUCAGAAGAUGGCAGAAAAGGUUUAGUUAGCAGUACACAAGGUUUGGCCAAGGUACACACAGCUUGCAAAGAAAAACAACUCAAAUGACCAAACAGGUCAGAACCAGUACUCCUUUAUAAUCGAGUCUCUCUAUCCACUGUGAAACAUGCCAGGAUUUGGGGUCAGAUUGCAAAAAACCCUGCAGUGUAUUGAGCG